GGGCCCGUAGCUCAGGUGGAUAGAGCGACAGCCUCCUAAGCUGUAGGCCGCAGGUUCGAGUCCUGCCGGGCUCA
rnacentral:tRNA from 1 species